rnacentral:lncRNA from 1 species
ACAUACUCGGCGCUCGAAAAGGCUGGAGGCUCAUCAGUCCAAAUUGUUGUAUCGGAGACUGGUUGGCCAUCAGCUGGAGGACAAGCGACAUCAAUAGACAAUGCCAGGACUUACAACAAUAACCUGAUCAAGCAUGUCAAUGGGAAUUCUGGAACCCCAAAAAGGCCUGGAAGGGCUAUUGAGACUUACAUUUUUGAUUUGUUUGAUGAAGAUCAAAAGAGUCCAGAAUAUGAGAAGCAUUUUGGGCUCUUUCUUCCAAAUAGGCAGCCAAAGUACCCAAUCAGUUUCUAACUAGAUUGAGGAAUCAACUGUAUGACAGGAAUAAGGACAGAUAGACUCCAUCUGCUGUCUCUCCUGCUUUUAUAAAUUGUCAUCUCAAAUAAGGGUUGCUCUAAUAAUUUCUAGCCUUGGCAACGUAUGUGUGAACAAACACAAAUUUUUUGCUGCUGGAGCAAUUAAAUGUUGGUAGUUGCUAAAAUGUUUUACUACAUGUUUAGUUUCUAAACAUAGGUUAAUUACGAAAAUUGCUUGGAAUGGAUUAACCUAGACCAUCAUAUGAUCAUAACCAAACAAACAUCCAGCUACCUAAGUUUUUCUCCUUUUUCUUUUGUUUCAGGUUAGAGCUAUCAAAAUUUAGCAAGCAAAUGAGAAAAAAAAAAAAAAAAAGGUUUUGGUUCGUAGUAUCAGCAGUCAUAAUCUAGUUCUGCGUGUUUCAGUCAGCUUAAUUAGUCUACCGUAUGUUCAACUAAUCUUUCCAGUUCAUGGUUUCUCAUAUUUGUAUGUGACAUGCAGAUAUAGCAAGUUGCCAAAUUAGAACUUAGGAUUGAUCCAUUAUUGACAGUAAAAGUGUCAAAUAGCAAGAUCAUCAUAAAAAAAAAAAAGAAAAAGAAACCAUCAUAAAAAUAAUGUUUAGUUAAAUAUGAAUACUGAAAAUUUAAAAAUAUACAAUUAAACUAGUUUUUUUUGUUUGUUUGUUUGGUAUCACUUGUAAAUAUUGAGUAGUUGUAAAUUCUAAUUUGUUUAUAUUUGUUUAAAUAGUAAAGGUACUAGAUUAUAUGCGCCUUUUAUUGUGACAGCUGACAAGCGCAUCAUAAAAUAAAUAGGCAGUCUAAGUCACGCCGCCGCAAGGAUCGAACACUCGCUUCGUGCAGUGUUGAAAUUUUUUCAGACGAAAUGUUUGCAGCAAGAAAGGGGAGAGGCAAAUUAUUUUUCUAUAUGUGAUAGGUCCAUCGCCACCACAUGACGACGCUCAUAACGUUUUAAAAAUAAUCUAUUUUAUCCCCUCUAGUUUCAUAUAAAGUAAAAAUUUAAUAGAAUAUAACCUUUACGAUGUUAAUAGUUUUUUUUUUUUUUUUUUGUCAAACUUCAGCUGUAUUAUAUAAAUACGAUGUAAAAAUUUAAUAGAAUAUAACCUUUACGAUGUUAAUAGUUGAAAUAUCAAUAUUGUCCUCGUUUAAACAUUGAGUCGGACAUUGACCUAACCACUUUGUACAAAACUAUUGAAGGGUUAUGGAAAUAAAUAGAAAAAUCACAGAGAGUUUACUGGGUAUUAUAAUUUUGUCUCACGUAUUAUUUGUUUUACCGUGUUUAUUCAAUCGCCAUAAUCGUUGAUGCUUUUCAUCAUUUUUUACUUUACAUAGAACUACAGAGGGGUUAUAUCACUAUUUUGAAGGUUUAAGAGAAUUAUCUUACAUUAUUCAAAACCACAGCGAGAGUUAUGUGUAAAUUUACCCUUGUUCUUGAAAGCCGUAGAGCACUACUAAAUAAAAAGUCCAAGCAACAAGACUUAGCUAAUCUGAUUAUGAUACCGAAACAAACCAAGAACAACUAUUGGAACUUGUAAACUUGAGUUUAGUAAUCGGACGUGAUGUUCCAUGCCAUCCGAGACCCUCAAAACUGAAGUAGUCAAAGAUGGAGUACCAAAAUAGCCAAUAUAGUGAUGUUGACUGCUGAGUUUAUUAUUUCCUGUACGUAAAAUUAGUCUUGUACAUUGAACUGACAUGAGAAUACUGAAUUCAACUUUCACCAAAAAAACUUCUCAAAAAAUUUGCCUGCUACAAGCUUUUUUUAACAAUUUUAGUUACAAUAAUUUCUCAAAAUUUUUAAACGAUACACUUCAAAAUAUUCAAAAAUUUUCGAUUUUUACUCAUUAGCGAGUUGCAUGGUGAAAAUAUUUUUGAUUAGAUUGAUAGUCUAACAUUGAUUUAGGGGAUGAUGAUUGAUGAGGAUGACACUACUAAACACAAGCAUUUCUUAAAUGCACUUUUCUAAGAGGGAAAAAUUCUGUAAGUUCUUUUUGGCAUUUUUAGCUUUAGUUCCAAAUGUGAACUGAAAGGACAACUUCACGAGGCUUGAUGGAGCUGUAUUAGAUUAUACAUGGAUAACUACUCAGUUCUAGAAUAUACAAGGUGGCAUGGUCAAGACUGAGGACGGCAUGCAUGUUACCUGAUCAAAUGGCUCGCAAAUAGUAAUAACAAUAAUGUAAUCGCCAGUUCGGGUUUAAAUGCUCAAUUGUCCAUUUCCACUAUAUAUAUAUAUACUCACUAUUAUCCAGUCUACUUGAUAAAAUUUGCGGUGAAUUUGCAAGAAUGGGUGAGGCAAGUGAGGAGGUAAUUCUUUUAGACUUUUGGACUAGCAUGUAUGGCAUGAGGGCAAGAGUUGCACUAGAAGAAAAACAAAUCAAGUACGAGCACAAACAAGAGGAUCUAAUUGGCAACAAAAGUGAGUUGCUCUUGAGGAUGAAUCCAAUUCACAAGACAAUCCCGGUUCUGAUUCACGAUGGAAAACCCGUUUGUGAAUCCCUCAUUGCAGUGGAAUACAUUGAUGAGGUGUGGAAAGGUAAGGCUUCACUCUUGCCUUCUGAUCCUUAUGAGAGAGCUCAAGCCAGGUUUUGGGCUGAUUUUCUUGACAAAAAGGUAAGCAUGCAUCCUAUCAUCGGCAAAAUCUCUUUCAGCUAAUUUAAACAUUGCCACAAAUAUCAUUCCUGCCAUGUUGAUGAAAUUGAGUCUUAAUCUUUUCUGCGCUGACAGUGUAUGCAUUAGCAGGUAUAAAUAUACAUCACACGUCUAGAUUUAGGGGUUAAAAUUCCAAUUGAGAUUAUUUGUUGUGUAUCCAUGUACACACUUGUGGGAAAGAUGCCUUAAGAUGAUGAGAUAUAAUGUACUCCAAUUGCAGGUUUAUGAAUACGGUCGUCAAGUCACCUGGUCAAGAAAAGGAGAAGAGCCAGAAGCAGCAAAGAUUGGCUUGACAAACUCCAUUAAGACGCUGGAGGAGGAAGCCCUUGGAGACAAACCUUAUUUUGGGGGUGACAAGUUCGGGUAUCUUGACGUUGCUGUCAUUGGACUCUGCAGUUGGUUACAUACCUAUGAGAUUAUCUGCAACUUUAAUGCGGCGACUGAGUGCCCAAAGCUGGUGGCAUGGGCUAAGAGAUGCAUGGAAAGGGAUAGUGUCUCCAAGUCUCUUCCUGAACCCAAGAAGCUCUAUGAAGCCAUUUUGGGAUUUAAGAAGGUUUUUGGACUUGACUAAAUGUGAAGAAGAAUUAAGGGUUGUUGGAACUUUGUCCUGUGACAAUAAAAAAGAAUAUGCUCAAAUAUGUCAUUGUUCAACGUUUUUUUUUUAAUAUUACUAUGCCAUUUUGUGUUUGUAAUCCGUAAUCCCAAUUACAUUUUUGCGCUUAAUUUGAUGCAUCUAUGGAAGAACUAGUAAAUUCUUUCUGAUUUGUCAGCAGCAAUUUCUAUUAUUUUGAAACAUUGGCCAAGGACUAAUUAGGUGAAAGAAUAUUUUGAACUACUUUAUACAUACAACAAGUAGAGGAAUCAGCUAUGCAAAACUCGAAAGAGAAAAGAAAAGAGGAAACGAAUUCCUUUAAUACAUGUUUUCACUAAUUUCAUAGUUGUAAAAUUAUACAAUCACACUCCCACAGCAAGAUAAAUCCCCUACAAUUUUCAUUCCCAAUUGAAACAUAUACAAAUUAUUUUUGUUUUGCCAGUAAUAAACAGAGCGUUCACUCUGGACUUAUUUGCAACAUAAACUACACAAAGGAUUUUUUUAGUCAUGAGAAACGAAAUUGGUACUUUUGUUUCUUAAUCAAUCCCAUGUUUCUUCCUCAACUUCAAAGCAUACUCAUGAACCUUAUGAAAAUCAGCAAGGGACUUUGACACACUCGCCCUUUUCAUGCACCUUUUAGCCCAUGCCACGAUCUUGGGGCACUGCGUCUCUAUGUUGAAAUUUCCAAAAAUCUCGUAGGCAUAAAACCAACUGUAGAAAGGUAUUAGAGCUACAUCUAAGUACCCAAAGUUUUCACCUCCAAAGUAAGGCUUGUCUCCAAGUUCUCCUUCCAAAAUUUUGUAGGUCUCUAUGAAUUCCAUCUUGGCUGCCUCCAGCUCUUCUCCCUUUGUAGCCCAAGUUUUUCUUCCUACAGUAACAACCUGCGUCAAACAGUUCAAAAUUUAAUUUAAUAACACCAGCAGUAAUAGAUGUUAAUUGUUUAGAGCAUAACAUUAUCUAUUUGAAACGAAAGUGACGGAUUGCUAUCUUUUGCAGUUUUUGUAGAAAAAUAUAUUAUAGCGAUUUGAUAUAUAUAUGGUAAAAAGAUAAUUGAAAAAUGUAAAAAUUUUUUGAAAAAAAAUGAUAAUCCAAACAAGGUUAAGUCAAACAAUAAAAACACAGAAACAAAUUAAAUCUACAUUGAAGCUCACAAAAAAUAUUGGAAAAAUCGUUCAAAACGUCUCUCACAUUUUGUAAAAUGACUUUUUUCGUCCCUUACUUUUAAAAGUGUAUUUUUACGUCUCUUACAAAUUCACAUUGGUCAAAUUUGGUCCUUAUCUAGGUUUUCGACUAGUUUUUGGCCGGAAUUCAUCACAUGCCUUGCAUGUGAUCAUUUUUUAGGGGCAAAAUUAUCAAAUCAAAAUUUACAUAAUCCAUCUAUAGUCCCUUACAUUUCACAAAAUGAAUUGUUUCGUCCCUUACAUUUUACAGCAUGUGAUCAUUUUUUAGGGGCAAAAUUAUCAAAUCAAAAUUUACAUAAUCCAUCUAUAGUCCCUUACAUUUCACAAAAUGAAUUGUUUCGUCCCUUACAUUUUACAAAAUAAAUUUUUUCAUCCCUCAGAUUUCUCAAAAUGAAUUUUUUUAUCUCUCAUUGACCACAUGUACGAAUAAUUUUUAUUUUUUUAAAUUCAUGAAUAUAUCUAUUUGAUUCCAUCUAAAUAGUACAAGUAAUAUGUAAUAUAUCUCUAUUUGAUUUCACCUAAACAGAUCGAUAUAUACAUGGGUUUAAAUCUAAUAAUUUUGUUUUAAACCUAUAUAUAUAUAUAUAUAUAUAUAUAUAUAUAUAUAUAUAUAUAUAUAUGAUUUCACCAUGUGAAUCUAUUCAAUAUUUGUAAUCUUUUCUAUUUUAGUAAUAAUUCAUUUAUUGAGUUGUUUAAUAAGAGUAUCUAAUUAAUCGGUGUUAAUUCGAAUUCCAUAGUCAUGUUAUCAAAUUGCAGUUUAAAUUUGAAAUUUUUAUUCGCUACCUUUAAGACCAAUAGUUGAAUUUCUUACCUUAUGAUUAUUUUAAAAUUUGAAAGUGUCAAUUACUUACUUCUUUUUGUUAUACUUUUCCUUUGUUUAUUUUUUCUGUCUAAAUUUAAUUCGAUAUAAACACUUGAUAAUGUUUAGAAUUAAAUGUUUUCUUUGUUUUCAAUUUCGAGUAAAAGGAAUGAACAUGAGUAAAAAACUAAUAAUUUUUUUAAACCCCUGUAUAUAUCUAUUUUAAUUUCACAUAAAUAGUAUGUUUAGGCGAAAAUUAAAUAGAGAUAUAUUACAUGCUAUUCGUAUUGUCCAUGUGAGAUCAAAUAGAUAUACAAAUUAGUUUUAAAAAAAGUUAUUCAUACACAUGAACAAUGAAAAAUGAAAAUUUUUAUUUUGUAAAAUAUGGGGGAUGAAAAAAUUCAUUUUGUGAAAUGUGAGGGACGAAACAAUUCACUUUGUGAAAUGUGAGGGAUAAAAAAAAUUCAUUUUAUAAAAUGUGAGAGACUAUAAAUUAAAUUAUAUAAAUUUUGAUUUGACAAUUUUGCUCUUAAAAAUGAUCACAUGCAAGGCACGUAGUGGAUUCCUACAAAAAACUAGUCGGAAACCUAGAUAGGGAUUAAAUUUAAUCAAUAUGAAUUUGUAAGGGACGUAAAAGUACACUUUUAAAAGUAAGGGACGAAAAAAAUCAUUUUACAAAAUGUGAGGGACGUUUUGAACGAUUUUCCCAAAAAUAUUUAUGAGUGAGCAAUAAUAAAUUGACCUUGGUACCUUUUUAUCAACAAAGUCAGCCCAAAACCAAUGUUUUGAAAAUCGGACAGGAUCGGCCAGUUCGAUCGGUUAAACCACGAACCGGUUAUGCCUUCGAUCCGAUUCAAUUAGAAACCCAAAGAAUUGAUUGAAUUGGUCAAAAUAGAUCAAGAACUGGUUGAACCGGUCAAAAUCGAGAGGUUCAACCGAUUUUUAUUAAGUAUUUAUUUUUUAAAAUAAAUAUUUUAGUUUAUUCAAAAUUGUUAAUACUAAAAUGAAUAAAAAAAUUAUUAAAUCUUUGAACCGGAAUCGAACCGAUUGAACAAGUCAAGCUAUGAACUAAAAGAUUUUCCGAUUCACUUUCCGGUCCGGGUUUAAAAACAUUGCCCGGAACCUGGCUUGAGCUUUCCUGAAGGGGUCAGAUGGCAAGCAAGGAUUUUUAUCACGCCAUACUUCAUCUAUAUACUGAACAAUAAUUAUCGACAGAAAGCCCGGAAUUCAUAGCACGAAUUGCACCUAUCAUGGAUGCAAUUUUCUUGUGUUAUUACAUCAAAUAGUUCUUCUAGGAAAUUCUCAUCUUGAUUACACGUCUUCUUCUUGAUAACUACUGUUUGAUGAAUCGACAAAAUGUCAAUUUUCAAGUCGGAAGUUUAUGAAAUGCAUCUAACUAGUUCCGGUCGAGACGAAAUGCUUUCAUUUUACAUACAUCUCUCAGCAACAGAUAAUAUGAAACAAGUUUAGAAUUUGAUCCUAAUCGGUCUAAUAAAUCUCUCUCUCUCUCUCUCUCUCUGUGGAAAAAGGAAGAGACGAAGACUUUGACUUCGAGUCAAUGUUAUCAAAGGCCAAAGAAAUGAGAAUGUGGCAUGUUAGAAUUUAAUGAAUUGCGAAAAUUUCUUUCUUCCAUUAAAACUUCCAUGCCCGUUACGUCCAAUUUGGAUACAGGCCAUACAUAAUACAUGAAAGUGAAGUUUGCCUAGCUAAUUCAGAGUUGACCAAUUAUUUGGUUUGACUGAUUCUAGUCUUUCCCUCAAAGCCAAGCCAUGACCAGAACUAUUUUGAAUAAUCAUCCUUUUUGGUUUUGUUCACAACUCAUUUUCUGUUACCGUGUUUUGUUGGUUUAAGCCGUGUUUCCACAGAGUGAUUGACCUGCGGUGCAGAAGACUGAUCAAGUCAUCAAGUUAGAUUCUAACUUUUCUAUGCAUCUUCCUUCAUACCCUUUCUGUAAAAGGGGUGCUCAAUUUGUAGCUCAUCAAGUAGUACUGGAAUAUUGCUUGUUUCAUUAUCCAUGGCUGGUGAAAAACAACAAUUCUGAAUUCACGGCCACUAUGUUUGUUAUUGGGCUGCUGUUACUUGCAACAUUUGAUUAUACAGGUUUUCCUCUCUAUCCUGAAUUACAAUGCAAUGUAGCCUCUAAAAUCUAAAAUCUUGAUAUGCAGAGUGUUUGCAGAAUUAUAGAUCAAAAGUUUUGUAAAUGGCAUAUGAAAAGCCUAAAAUCAGACCUGGUGACACUAGCAAUUACUGGGGCUGGUAAGCCAUACUGUAGUCAGUUGUCAAAUGACUUUCACCAAUUAAUAAGUAAGUGGUUUCUCUACUUGUUCAGAAAAAGAGGGGAAAUGUGGAGGUAUUCAUUAUCAGUUUAUCCUACAAAAUGAAUGUAAAGCUUUGUUACAUAAUCAGCCCUGGUUUGCAGAAUGAGCUUAAUCAGGUCAAUCAAAUCAUUGUGCAUAUGAAAUUUGAUGCAGGGGCUCAAACAGGAGUUUGUUAUGGAAGGCUUGGGAGCGGACUUCCAUCUCCCGCAGAUGUUGUAGCCCUUUGCAAACAGAACAACAUCAAAAGAAUGCGAAUUUACGAUCCUGAUCAAUCCACACUUCAAGCCCUAGCAGGUUCAAAUAUUGAAGUCAUUCUUGGGGUUCCCAACACUGAUCUUCAGAAUGUUGCUGCAAGCCAAGAUAAUGCAAAUAAUUGGGUCAAAAACAAUGUCAUCAAUUAUCCUAAUGUCAAAUUCAGGUACAUUGCAGUUGGAAAUGAAAUCAGCCCACUAAAAUGCAUGGCUGGGUGCCCAGACUUUGUUCUCCCUGCCAUCCGAAACAUCUUCAACGCAAUUUCUGCAGCUGGGCUAGGAAACCAGAUCAAAGUUUCCACUGCUGUUGAAACUGGACUAAUUGGAAUUAGUUUUCCUCCAUCAGCUGGCACUUUCCAACCUCAAGUCCAAAUGUUUAUCAAUCCCAUAGUUCAGUUCUUAGCUAGCAAAGGCGCCCCAUUACUCGUUAACGUGCAUCUGUACUAUGUCUACAUAAACAAUCCCGAGAGCGUAGCUCUUGACUUUGCUCUUUUUACUGCUUCGGGCAUUACCCUACCAGAUGGUGUAAAGUAUCAAAAUCUUUUUGAUGUUAUCUUGGAUGCAAUAUACUCGGCCAUCGAAGGGGUCGGAGGGUCAUCUGUCGAAAUUGUUGUAUCAGAGACAGGCUGGCCAUCAGAUGGAGGAGGACAAGCUACAUCAAUUCACAAUGCCAGGACUUACAACAAUAACCUGAUUAAGCAUGUCAAUGGGAGUUCUGGAACCCCAAGAAGGCCUGGAAAAGCAAUUGAAACUUACAUUUUUAAUUUGUUUGAUGAAGAUCAAAAGAUUCCAGAAUAUGAGAAUCACUUUGGGAUCUUUCUUCCAAAUAAGAAGGGAAAGUACCCAAUCAGUUUCUAACUGGAUUGAGGAUUCAAGUGUAUAAAAGGAAUAAGGAUCGAUAGACUUCAUGUGUUGUCUUAAUUUAGCAAGCAUAGGUACAUUAUGUAAAUUGCUUGGAAUUAGAUUAACUUAGACCAUCGUAACCAAAUAAAUACAGCUACCUAAGUUUCUCUUUUCUUUUUUUUUUUUCCCAGGUUAGAGCUAUCUUAAUUUAGCAAGCAAAUGAGAAAAAAUUUGAUUUUGGCUCGUAGUAUCACCAAGCAUAUUUUAGUUCUGCGUGCUCCAAUCAGCUUAAUUAGUCUACCAUAUUUUCAACUAAUCUUUGCAUGUGACCUGCAGAUUUAGCAAAACAACAAAUUAGAACUUAAUUAGGAUUAAUCGAUUAUCAAUAGUAAAAGUAACAAAUAGCAUGAUCAUAAUCAAAUAAUGUUUAGUUAAAUAUGAAGAGUGAAAAUUUGAAAAUUUACAAUGAUACUGUUGUUUGGUAUUGCUUGUAAAUACUAUUAAGUAUUUGUAAGUUCUAGUUUAUUUAUACUCGUUUAAAUAGUAAAAGUACUAGAUUAUAUACGCCUUUAUUUUUCAUUUUUAUUUUCGGAUUUUUCUGUAUCAUGUGGUAAUGAGCCGAUUUUUUUUUUUUCCUCCUAACGUACUUACUUUGUACCAUCAACAAUGACAAUAGCAUAAUGGUAAUUUUCUACGGUACACUUUUAUUCUAUUUGUUCAAAUCCUCAUAUAAGAAAUUAUCAAAGUUAAUAUAAUGUUGUCGUUAAGAGCCAAGAAAAAAACUUAAAAAAAAAAUAUUGAUGGCAGCAAAAUUAUUAGAAAGAGUUAAUCGGGGAAACACACAACAUCUUUAGCCAAGUCAGACGGAUAAUGGUCACAUGAAGUGUUCAACUUCUGGAUGGCAAUGAGAAUGUUAUCGUUUUCAACUAAACAAAGUUAUCAAAGUCUGCAAAACUGCCAUACUCCACAACCUUCCUAGACUUGUGUUUUCCACAAAACAUAAUUCACUAAUUCAUGAAAUAAUGAAUUAAGUAUGACUUUUCACACUAUCAAAACUAAUUGUUUUCAAUAAUAACCCGCACCACUCGUGAGAUUUAACUUCAACACGUACAUAUUCUUACUGCUUAAAGGACUUUAGGAGUGGCUUAGCCUUAACUUAAUUCUUGGAUUCAUACAUGGAUUCAUACAUGUUUGGCAUGUAGUGAUAAAGACCUCUGGACUAGGAAAUCCUUAAAAGUGUGAAGGCUUCCAUAGUUUCUGUCGAUAUCUAUGUUUAACUGCUACUUUCGUAUAGAAUAUUCGCAUCCCAUAUUGACAUUUCAAUUGCCGUAAGCCUGGAAUUUAUAGAAUGAAUUGCGCCUGUCAGGGAUGCAAUUUUCUUGUGUUAUACAUCAAAUAGUUCUUCUAGGAAAAUCUCAUCUUGAUUACAUGUCUUCUUCUUGAUAACUACUGUUUGAUGAGUCGACAAAAUGGCAAUUUUCAAGUUGGAAGUUUAUGAAAUGCACCCAACUUGUUCCGGUCUAGAUGAAAUGCUUUCAUUUUACAUACGUCUCUCAGCAACAGAUACUAUGAAACAAGUUUAGAAUUGGUCCCAAUCGAUCUAAUAAAUCUCUCAUUUCCUCUCCCUGUGGAUAAAGAAGAGACGAAGACUUUGACUAGGAAUCAACGAGUGUGUUUGGAUAGAGUAUUAUUUUAAAUAAUUCCAGUAGCACUUUUUGUGAUGUCACGUAUACGAGAUAAAAAGGUGAUUGAAAAAAAAAAAGUGGAUUAGAGAAUGUGUUUAUUAUGCAAGUAAAAUAUUAUUUAAAAAAAUUUGCUAUCCAAAAUGUUGUCAAAGGCCAAACAAAUGAGAAUAUGGUGUAUUAGAAUUUAAUGAGAAGAAAAUUUCUGUCUUCCAUUAAAACUUCCUUGCCAGUUAGGUCCAAUGUGGAUAUGGUCCAUACAAUGAGAGUGAAGUUUACCUAACUAAUUUAGAGAUAACUAAACCAACUUUUGGGUUUGACUGAUUCUAGUCUUUCAUCUAAAGCCAAGCCAUGACUAGAUGGUUUUGUUCACAACUCAUUCUCUGUUUUCAUAUUCUGUAAUGUUACUGCAAACAUUCUUCCAGAGAUGGCACCUAAUUUUGUACUUAGUCAGAAAAAGAGGUUAUUCAUCUACUAUUGACAUGUAAUAAUAUUUCAAUGAUCAAUCCACCUUAUUCUUUACUUGAGCAGUAAUUGUUCUAGCUCCUCUUAGCCAAUCUGGUUAAUAUUCCUCCACUAAACAAUAAUUGCAGAAAUAACCAUCUAUUGAGUUGGUAGCCACCACAAAGGCCUUAAGUGUUUUUGUGGGGUGAGAAGUCAAAAGUUUCGAAUCUUGUCUCCUAUCAAAUGAUAUUUAACAUAUGACUUCUUCUAAAUCUAGCAGGUGCUUAACGCACCCGUCUGAUUUGAUGGUAAUUCAGUUCCAAUUGAUCCAUAGGAUCUAGUUGAACCUGUCUCUCUUCACUCCAAAAAAAAAAACCAUUAAUUGCAGAAAUGAAAAGUAAGAGUUGCACAUGAAAAAGUCACGAGCUAUAUAGUUUAAUUCCUCUCUAGUAAGGACUCAUAGCCAUGGCUCCAUUAGAUGCAAUUCAGUCCUCAGGAACUGGAAGUUGUUAUACGGUGGCAACCACGUUGCAGGCCCUCUAACCAAAAGUUCUACCAUGUAACAAGUCAUACCCUUUGCACACCAAGUCUUGGAAACCAAAAUAGGAAGAAACUACAUGUAAUUGGACGUGCAGAGUUUCUUGUGAAGGAGUACUUCUGUUUAGCAUAUGCUGCUGCAAUUAUGGUCUAAGACCAUAUUUCCAGUAAAAUAAGCUGAUUUUCAAAGUGCAUUAAAACAUUAGGGCGGCAUAUAAGAUUAUUAGUGAUUGAUUGAGGAAGUCAUUCUCAUCAAGGACAUAGAAAAAUGUUUGAAAAUUCAAAAUUUAACACCUGGGCAGGCGAAUGACGUGCUCUAGAAAUUAGCCACCCUGCAACAGCGAUGUUUCCACAGAGUGAUUGUCCUGAAGUGCAGUAGACUUGUCAAGUCAUCAAGAUUUUAGAUCCUGACUUUUACUUUUCUAUGCAUCUUCCUUCAUUUCCUCUCAAUAAAAGGGGUGCUUAAUUUGCAGUUCAUCAAGUAGUAUUAAGUAGUACUGGAAUAUUGCUCGUUUCAUUAUCCAUGGCUGGCGCAGAACAACAAUUCAAGGCCGCUAUGUUUGUUAUUGGGCUGCUGCUACUUGCGACACUUGAUUAUACAGGUUUUCCUCUCUAUCCUGAAGUACAAAGCAAUGUAGCGUCUAAAAUCUAAAAUCUUAAUAUGCAGAAUGUUUGCAGAAUUAUAGAUCAAAAGUUUUGUGAAUGGCAUAUGAAAGUCUAAAACCAGACCCGGCAACAUUAUCGAUUACUAGGGCUGCUAAGCCAUACUUUAAUCAGAUAUUAAAUGACUUUAACUUAUUAAUAAGUGCUUUCUUUGCUUGUUCGAAAAAUGGGGAAACUGUGGAACUUUUCAUUAUCAGUUUAUCCUACAAAAUGAAUGUAAACCUUUCUUACUAAAUCAGCCCUGGUUUGCAGACUGAACUAAAUCAGGUCAAUCUAAUCAUUGUGCAUAUGAAAUUUGAUGCAGGGGCUCAAACAGGCGUUUGCUAUGGAAGGCUUGGGAGUAAUCUUCCAUCUCCAGCAGAUGUUGUAGCCCUUUGCAACCAGAACAACAUCAAAAGAAUGCGAAUCUACGAUCCUGAUCAAUCCACUCUUCAAGCCCUAGGAGGUUCAAAUAUUGAAGUCAUUCUUGGGGUUCCCAACACUGAUCUUCAGAACGUUGCUGCAAGCCAAGAUAAUGCAAAUACUUGGGUUCAAAACAAUGUAAGGAAUUAUCCCAAUGUCAAAUUCAGGUACAUCGCAGUUGGAAAUGAAGUCAGCCCAAUAAAGGGCGACACAGCUCAAUACGCAAACUUUCUUCUCCCUGCCAUCCAAAACAUCUUCAACGCAAUUUCUGCGGCAGGGCUAGGCAUCAAAGUUUCCACUGCUGUUGAAACUGAACUAGUUGGAAAUAAUUUUCCUCCAUCAGGUGGCACUUUCAAACCUGAAGUCCAGAAUUUUAUCAAUCCCAUUGUUCAGUUCUUAGCUAGCAAGGGCGCCCCAUUACUCGUUAACGUGUAUCCAUACUUUGCCUACAUAUUCAAUUCCCAGAGCAUAGCUCUUGAAUAUGCUCUUUUUACAUCUUCGGGCAUUACCACACCAGAUGGUGUGAAGUAUCAAAAUCUUCUUGAUGCUCUCUUGGAUGCAACAUACUCAGCGCUCGAAAGGGCCGGAGGCCAAUCUGUCGAAAUUGUUGUAUCAGAAACCGGUUGGCCAUCAGAUGGAGGAGGACAAGCGACAUCAAUAGACAAUGCCAGGACUUACAACACUAACCUGAUUGGGCAUGUCAAUGGGAAUUCUGGAACCCCAAAAAGGCCUGGAAGAGCUAUUGAGACUUACAUUUUUGAUUUGUUUGAUGAAGAUCAAAAGAGUCCAGACUAUGAGAAGCAUUUUGGGCUCUUUCUUCCAAAUAGGCAGCCAAAGUACCCAAUCAGCUUCUAACUAGAUUGAGAAAUUAUCUAGUGUAUAACAAGAAUAAGAAUAAGAAUCCAUAGGCUCCACAUGUUAUCCCUUGCUUAUAUAGAUUGUCAUGUCAAGUGGGGAUUGCUCUAAAAUUCUAGCCUUGGCGACCUAUAUAUUGAUAAAUAAAAAUGUUUUGCUGCUGGAGCAAUUUAUUCUUAGCAGUUGCUAAAAUAUUUUGGUGCAUAUUUAGUCUUUAAACAUAGGUAAAUUGUGAAACAUGCUGGGAAUUGGAUUAACAUGGACCAUCAUAACCAAAUAAAAAUAGAGCUAUCUAACAAGUUUAGCAAGAAAAUGGGGAAAAUUUUGACUGUGGUUCACAGUACUAUGAGAAAUUAUAACUUAAGUUCUCUGUGUUUCAAUCAACUUAAUGAGUCUACUGUGUUUUAACUUGUAUUCCCGGUGUACGGUUUCUCACAUUUAUGUCUCUGUUGCAUAUUUAGAAAAUCAACCAAUCAGAGAAUAGUAUUAAUCAUCUAUUAAUAGUAAAAGUAACAAAUAGCAAGAUCAUAAUAAGAAUAAUUUUUAGUUAAUUAUGAAUAGUAAAAAAAGGAAUAACACUUGUUAUUUUGUUUAUUUGGUAUCGCACCAUUUUCAGCUAUAUUGCAAAGCAUGGAAUACAAUUAGAGUGAGCUCUUAAUUCUACAAAAAUGGUAAAUAACCAACUAGAACUUGAGACGAAUCUUAAGAUGCGAGCUAAUGCCCAUAAUUAAACUCGGCAAAGUAAAGAUUUGCAAUUGAAACUAGGGAUAAUUUCAGAUACCUCCCUUGAGGUUUCUAACAAUUUCAUUUAGCUCCCUCAAGGUUUUAAAAAUUACACAUACCUCCCUUAUCAUUUAAAGUAAUAAUACUACCCUUAAUUAAUGAAAUUCCCUUAUUUGGUAUGCUUAUACUUAGAAUGACUUUUAAAAUUAUUUUUUCAUUCUUUUUUCUUCUUACUCCUUUUUUUUAUUUUUUGCCAAUAAAACUGUAUAACUAGCAUUAUUACCUCUGGUUUCUAUUAUAACCAAAUGUCGAACUAGUGAUUUUUUUUUUAUGAGUCAACUUAUAUGUAAUCCAAUGUUUUUGGUGAUCUUUGUUUUCUAUUUUUUGGUAUUAAAGCUAAUAGUAAAUAUAAAAAGAAAUGGCCCAAAAUCACUGUUAAAUUAUGAUAAUCCUACUACUUGAAAAAUUCAUAAACUCUAAAUGAAUUAUUUCGGCAUUUUCUUUUUAAUCUUAUAAAUCUAAAUCUAUAAUAAAAUACCAUCACAAAUAUCCUAUCAUAGUGAUAAAAUUAUUAUUAUAAUUGUUUAUCAAAUAGUAGGUAUGGACAUGAAAAUUUUGGUACCUUUUUCUUAUAAUUAUACUAGAUAAUCUUAUAAUUGUGUAGGUAUAUAACUUAAAACUCAUUACACAAGGGCAUUUUUGGGUAUUCAUUUAAAAAUUUGACCAAGUCAAUAUUAUUUUAAGAUUUAGAUACUAAAACUAUCAAAUUAAGGGAAGUAGGUGUAAUUUUUCAAAUUUUAGGGGAGUUCAGUAAAAUUGUUAGAAACCUUAAGGGAGGUUUCUGAAAUUAUCCGUUAAAACUAAGCAAACAUAACCCCACCUAGUCGACAUCUAGCAAAAAAACAAGCUGCUCAUGUAUAUUACAAGACUAGAAUAGUUGGGGAAAAAUUAGCCACUGAUUUUGGGUGGCUAGCAUAUAUGUCCCAGCAAAGUGGCAUAUAUAUUAACUUCAGGACAUAUUAAUUUGAUUCAUAAUGUCCUUACAUAUACAUAAGAAGCACUUUGUGUUUCUACGGUGCAGCUAUUUUCAAGUGCCACUUUGCUUCCAUGUGUUGUACUUUUGAGUGCUGAAACCUUUGCUAGAGCUGUUGUACCUGAGGUGGAGCUUCAAGUGCACUGCAUAUUUUCUGGAUUGUGUUUUGUGCUCCUGCCACUUAUGGGCCCCGACUUUUAAGAAAUUCAGAGAGAUAUAUAUAUAUCCUACGUAUAAUAUUCCUUUAUAUUAUAUACAUAUAUAUAUUUUUUUUCGUUUGUAAAAAAAACCAUUGUGUAUGCUGAAGGCAUUUUGUAUAUACAUAUAUAUAUGUAUAUUUAGAGAUAUAUCUAAGAUAAAAUAUAUAUAUAUAUAUAUAUAUGUAUAUUUAGAGAUAUAUAAAAUAGAGAUAUAUAAAAUAGAGAUAUAUCUAAGAUAAAAAAUUUAAUCACAUGUUUCUGUAAAUCGUUUAUUAUUGUAAUCCUUUAUUAUUUUUUAUAUGUAAAGAGAUAAAACAAUCCACUCACUUCAACGAAAAUUUAGGUAAGUGCAUAGGUUCCUUGUCAUCUAAAAACAUACGUGUCAUUGUUUACAAUUUUUUACGUAUUAUUUAGCUCAACUAUUGAACGAAAAUUUAUGUAGACACACAGGUUCCUUAUCAUUAUCAUCAUUUCAAAAACAUACGUGUCAUGUAUCAUUCAGCUCUUGCUUACAAUUCAUGCUUAGCUUUUGUUAAUUGUCGGCCAUUUACCUUUGCUGUUUACCAAAUUCUUCUGGACAGUAUCUGUUUUCUGCAUCAUUGCAUGGCACCGCUUGGUUAUAUUUGUAAUUUCCCAUUUCUUUCAUUGACUUGUAAGAUACAAACAGUCUUCAUGCAAAAUCGACUGCAUACUUCAGCUUUGACUUCCAUGUAAACCUUGUUCUCGGUUCUUUUGAAUACAACAAUUCCCACGCAAGGUAUUCUCUGAACUUCCGUCUCUCUGGUUUCUUUGUUUAUCAGAAAUUCUACGGUUACUGCUUUAAUAUCUUUUAUUCAGCUCUCCAACAAAUUUGCUGCACUGCUGUCUGCCUUAGCUACCAAUGGAGGUAUUGUUUUGCUAGAUUUAUUAACAGGUCUGUUAGUCCAUAGUUUAUGUCGGUCGUUUUUGCUGUUGUUGCUAUCAGUAUUUUCUGCUUAUCACGCUUAACAAGCUCCUACUUUAUUCACUGUGUAAUUAUAUUAUAAAAAAUCUCUUCCAUUAUAAUACGGACAACAUGAGUUCCUCUAAGUUACAUCCACCUAACAAUGCUCUGAAUGUCCGUGAGAAAAAAUCUGAGAAGAAUAGAAAAAAGAGAGAAAGAUUUGCUGCUCUGUCGGUAGAAGAAAAAGAAGCUCAUCGAAAGAAAAAUAGAGAUGCGUAUCACAGAAGAAAGUUAAGCAAACUCUUGUCCAAGCCACUUGCUGAACAAUCUCAGCAGAUUUCCAGACCAUCAGAUACUCCAGGCUCUGGUUUACUAGCUAUUUCUAACAACUGUGCUGAUGGUAGCUAUUUCCACCGAUGCAAUAACCUGUUGCCACGGACGAAGAUAUUAAUGUCAGAAUUAAGUGAACAUGGUCGAUGUGUCACAUGUAUGUUUCGCAAGCUUCGUUCACCCUUUCUUUUUUUUUGUUGUCUGCAUGUUGAGUUUCUGUUUACCCUCUAUUGCAGCUCCAAAUCUUCAUGGAAAUGCAUCUGCUCAGAAAAUUGAUGCGUAUGUCACCAAAAUUGCCUCUCCUAAUCCUCAGCUCUCUGCAUGUAACAGUCAAUCUGGUGGAUCAAAAUUAAAGAACAGUGUGUCUCACUUUUCCACUUAUGAACAAGGUCUUCAUCCCUGUUACUUUUAUAGAAGUAUUACUACCAUUAUCAUAACUGUUGCUUCAAAAUACCAUUGUAUUGUUCUAACAUUCUUCAAUUGCAGGUAGUUCUUCAGGCACGAACCACAAGCAUGUCUGCUCACAUCAUACUACUCCAUACACUUCAGGUGGACCACUACUUUACCUAACUUUGUAUUAAAUAUUGCCAGAUUUUAUUGGCCAUAGAAAUGUAUUUUUGAACAUAUAACUGGCCACCAGGUUCUUCAUACUUAUUCAUUUAUUCUUUAUGUUAAACUUACAGCUAACUCAUUUGUCUGUAUGAGCUGCUACAACUUCUCUCCAGAGAGUAUUGAACAAGUUCCAGGUAUUUGAUGCUUCAGUACCGUCAUAUAUUUUGUUUCUUCUUAAAUUACAUUCAGUUUGUUUACUGUAAGUGACACGAUGGGUUCCUCUUUAUAGAACUGUCAUCACUUGUUACACGAUAUCAGGCUACUCGACAGUUACUAGGAUCUACUGCUAACAAAAAUGGAGGUUUAGGUUGUCCUCUGUCACCAAGUUUCAUUAUUGUAAUACUUGCUACACCAUCAGUCUACUUCUCACCGUUGCCAAAAUCUUCUGAAUAAAUGUACAGCCAACACAAAAUCAGUGCUGGAAAAAACUCAGACCGUUAAUAAGACAACUAAGAGACCAAAAGGUAUUUUGAAUAUAGUUUAUUGUACAUGUAGAGUUCUGUUCCAAACCUCUACUCUUCUGUUCAAUAGUUACAAUUACAUUGAAUGUAUUGUAGGGAGAACAAAUCCAGAUGGGAUUGGAGCAUUGAAAUUCAUUAACGAUGAACCAGACAUGUUGCCUUCAAAGCCACAUUGCAGUUACUGUGAGGCAAAAAAGUUCCAUUCUGAAACACCAAAUUUUUGUUGUUCUAAUGGUGAAGUGGUUCUCCAGCAAAACAAACUUCCGGAUAUUUUGAUAGAACUAUAUACUGGUCGGUCUGAUGAAGCCGCUUCUUUUAGAACAUAUGUCAGGACAUACAACAACAUGUUUGGCUUCACCUCUUUUGGAGUGCAUUAUGAUAAAUCCCUCUGCAAAAGAACUAAUGGCAUUUACACAUUCAAAGUCCAAGGACAAACUUAUCACUUCAUCAAAGAUCUGAUUCCAUCUGGAGGUUCUGGCGUCUAUCUGCAGCUAUAUUUCCAUGACACAGACCAUGAGUUAGAAAACAGACUAGCUAUAUCACAGAAGCUGACAGAGAGUAUAGUAAAAAAAAUUAUGCAUAUGAUGGAAUCCAAUCCUUACGCUUCUUUUCUUCGAAGCUUAAAACAUGUUCCAGAUCUUGACUCAUACCAGAUAGUACUUAAAUCCCAUUCAGAAAAUGAUCAGAGGGUCUUCAACCAACCAACUGCAUCUCAAAUUGCAGCUUUAUGGGUGGAGGGUCAGGAAUUUAAAGAAGGAUACACGAGACAUAUUCAAAUCUAUACAAAAGAGGGUAAAGACCACCUGUUACAAUACUAUUAUGGAUGCUAUGAUCCAUUGCAGUAUCCACUGUUAUUCCCGCUUGGAGAAACUGGAUGGCAUCCUGGUAUAAGAAGGAUAACUAUGGAAAAUCCAAAGAAGAGAAAGAGAUGCAACAAAAAAGCUAGCUGCACUACUCCUUUUCCUAAUUACAGAUCUGCACAAGAGCUACUAGAUGCUGAGGAGCAAGGUAUGCAUAGAAUCAUAAUCUAGAAUUAUAUUCUCCAGUAUGUACUUAUAAAUAUUAUGAUGCUUACAUUGAACAAUUGUAUUGCAGGUUGUAACGAUCUGGAAAACAAUAAGGAGUUUGUAUCAAUGCGUGAGUAUUAUUCAUAUAAAUUGCAGAUGCGAGAAAAAUAUACUCCAAGUGUACUUAAUACUGGCAGACUGCUACAACAAUAUGUGAUUGAUAUGUAUAUAAAGAUAGAAACCCAGAGACUUGAUUACUACAAGAAUCGACAAGAAUUAAUAAGAAGAGAGCAGCUUCAAGGUAUAAUGGACAGUGUAGUAGCAGGGCAUUGCCAGGGAUCAAGGGUAGGGCAGCGAGUAAUCCUCCCAGCUUCAUUUAUAGGUGGUCCACGUGAUAUGAGGAGAAGAUAUGUUGACGCCAUGGCUCUUGUACAAAAAUUCGGCAAACCAGAUCUGUUCAUUACAAUGACCUGCAACCCUUCAUGGCCUGAGAUCAAACAACAUAUGCUUCCUACUGAUGAGGCUCAUAACAGACCAGACUUAUUAGCUCGGAUUUUUCACGCUAAACUUGAUCUUCUCAAAGAAGAACUCUUCAGAAAAGAAAUCUUUGGACCAGUAGCUGCCUAUACCUAUGUAGUUGAGUUUCAAAAACGUGGUCUGCCCCAUGCUCAUUUUCUCAUAAUCUUGAAAGCAGGGUCCAAGCUCUACUCCACAGAAUCUUAUGAUAACAUUGUGAGUGCAGAAAUUCCUGAUAAGAUGCCCAAUCGACAUUUAUUUAAUAUGGUCCGAAAGCAUAUGAUCCAUGGUCCUUGCGGAAAACAAAAUCCAGAUAAUGUUUGUAUGCAAGGAAGUCAGAAGAAGAAGUGCAAAAAUAAUUACCCAAAGCCAUUUGCUGAUACAACCUUCCAUGGAGAGAAUACAUAUCCCACUUAUCGCAGAAGGAAAGAUGGAAAGAAAAUAAUAGUUCGCGGACAUGAGUUGGAUAAUAGAUGGGUAGUUCCAUACAAUGGAUAUCUGUUAGCAAAAUUUGACUGUCAUAUAAAUGUAGAAAUUUGCUCCACAGUGAAAGCCGUGAAGUAUAUAUACAAGUAUAUAUAUAAGGGGCAUGACAGAAUACGUUUUAGAGUAAAUUCAGAUGCUUCUGAUCGACCAGAUUCUAACAUCCAACCAUCUGCAAUUGAUGAAAUAAGGGAAUUCCAGUCGGCUAGAUGGGUAUGUGCAGUAGAGGCAACUUGGAGAAUCUUCAGAUUCCAGCUAAGUGAAAUCCAUCCUUCUGUCAUUCACCUCCAGCUCCACUUAGAAAAUUGCCAAGCAAUGAAUUUCACACCCGAUCAGGACCUUCGAGAUGUGGUGAGGAAUAGGCAUGCAAAAAGAACCAUGUUAACAGAAUUCUUCUAUAUGAAUUCAGUGGACAAACUGGCUCAGCAUCUUAAGUGCACGUACAAAGAAUUCCCAGAACACUUCGUUUGGUACCCUGGCAAGAAGAAAUGGGAACCCAGAAAACAAAAGCAUUCUAUUGGUAGAAUUGUCGCAGCAAGCAUAGGAGAAGGAGAACGUUACUUUCUUAGAUUACUCCUAACACAUGUUAGAGCUCCAACAUCAUUCGAUGACCUCAAGACAAUCAAUGGAAAAUAUAUCAGUACAUUCCGUGAUGCAGCUAUCCUUAGAGGCUAUUUUGAAUCAGAUACGUCGCAGGAGCAAUGUCUUGAAGAAGCUAGCUCGUACCAGAUGCCAUACAUACUGAGAAGGCUAUUUGCAACUCUCCUGGUACACUUUCCUCCAUCAGAUAGUAGAUACCUUUGGAAAAAAUUUGAAUAUUCUUUAUCAGAAGAUUUCAUAAGAAUGUCAGAAUUUACACCUGAUCAAAUACGAUACAAAGUACUUGAACAGAUAAAUAAUUUUUUGCAAUCAAUGGGAAAAGACAUCAACUCAUAUGCUCUGGUUCCACAUGCUCUAAACUUUAAUCAUAUGAACAAGAACACAAGAGACACAACAGCAGAAACAACAAUCACUGUCCAAGAAUCUGAUCUCCAAGCAAUUUAUCAACUAAACUGUGACCAAAAAAUUGCUUUUGAUAUAAUUAUCGAUGCAGUGUUCAAAAUAAAGAAGGGUUGUUUUUUUAUUGAUGGCCCAGGCGGAACAGGCAAAACAUUUCUCUAUCGAGCACUCUUAGCUGAAGUGAGAUCAAAAGGAUUCAUAGCACUUGCUACAGCAUCAUGUGGAGUAGCAGCUUCAAUAUUACCUGGUGGAAGAACAUCUCACUCAAGAUUCAACAUACCAUUAGAUACAACCAAAAAUACCAACUGCAGAAUCAGCAAACAAAGUUCAUCAGCACAACUUCUAAAAUCAGCCAGCCUUAUAAUUUGGGAUGAAGCUCCAAUGAUGAAUAAAAUCUCAAUAGAAGCUGUUGAUAGAUUACUCCAAGAUUUAAUGGACUGCAAUGACUUAUUUGGAUCAAAGGUAAUUGUCUUUGGAGGAGAUUUUCGUCAGGUAUUACCGGUUGUUACUAAAGGCACAAAAGUGGAUUUUAUUGAUGCUUCCAUAGUAAAUUUAUAUAUAUGGCCACAACUUCAUAAACUUCACCUGACAGAGAAUAUGAGAGCAAGACAUGAUCCUGAGUUCAUUGAAUAUCUACUCCGUAUUGGAAAUGGAACAGAGCCUGUUAUCAAUAACAACUCUAUCCAAAUACAUACUGCAUUGCUGAUAAGAUACACAAAUGACGAAGAUUCCAUCACAGAGCUCAGUAAGGCUGUAUUCCCGGAUUUAAUGGCAUUCUUCCAUGAUGAUUUUUCAGCCGUGAACCGUGCUAUACUUACAACAAAGAACGAAUUUGUUGAUGACAUCAACCAGAAAAUCAUACAUCAAUUACCUGGACAGGUCCAAGAAUACAUCAGUAGGGACAAAUGCAUUGACGAUUCUGAACAGACAAUCAUGGAGGAUUUCGUGAAUGCCUUAACACCCAAUGGAUUUCCUCCUCACAGGCUGCUCCUCAAACCACAUUGUCCAAUUAUGUUGCUCAGAAACAUUGAUCCCCCCCAAGGAUUGUGCAAUGGAACAAGGCUCAUCUGCAAAUCUUUAAACUCUAACAUUAUACAUGCAGUAAUAAGUUGUGGAGAGUUCACUGGGAAAGAGGUCUUUCUCCAUCGAAUAUGCUUCAGAAUUGAGACCAAUCCAGACUCUCCAGUAUCUUUUGAACGCAUCCAGUUUCCUGUUCGACCCUGUUUCGCAAUGACUAUUAACAAAGCUCAAGGCCAGACGUUGGAUUUUGUGGGAAUAUACUUACGUGAACCAGUUUUCUCACAUGGACAGCUAUAUGUGGCAAUGUCCAGAGCAAAAAAUAAAAACUCAAUUAAAAUGCUCAUCAAACCACCUAUAUUUGAUCCUGAACAAGACUCAAUAACAAAUAAUGUAGUGUAUAAAGAGGUCCUCGAUUUAGCACAUGAAUGAUUUGCUCACUCACACACGUGCCACUCUAUUAUAUUAUCUGUAUUCUGUUUCUAUAUUUUUUUUCACAAAAUCAUCCACCAAUUAUUCUUUCAAGUUACAGGAAGACAGAAAAGUCAUAGCAUUUGCUGAAAUUAUUCCUGGACUUCGAGAUUGGACAACAAUAGUUCAGGUUCUUGACAAACAGAAGCCGCUCCUAUCAAAAGCAGGAAAUCGCUAUCAGAAGCUUACACUCAUUGAUGGGCAGGUAAAUACACUACAAAACUUCCUGAAUUCUUACUACACCUCAAAAUACAUCUCACAUGUGAAUGGAACCAAACCUUUUGUACAGGGCACCACAGUGGAGGCUAUGAUAUACAAAUCAGACAUAGAAUUCUUUCGCAACCACUUUCGCCUGUAUAUGCGUUACAUGCUGUCCAAUGCAAGAGUUGAAUAUACUCCACUGGAAUAUCGUGUACGUGAAAAUCAAUGUACUUGGUAUAUUGACAACUCCACUGUUGUCCAGGCAAUGGAUGAACCAAAUCCCCCAGAAAUUCCUCCUGUUUUCAGAUUCACUCCUUUCAGAAGAUUCUACCAACACAUUGAUGAUACGUCAGACAUAGGUAAUAUGCAAAACUCAGAUAUAUAACUAUCUCAUAUUUGAAAAACUGCUAAUUAAUUUCUCCUUGAUGAAUGCAAAGAACAGAUAUACUUGGCAUUAUCGCAGAGGUCCAUCAACGAUUUCACAAAGGCACUACCCCAACUAGAGAGAUUGUAAUCAUAGACAAAAGGUAAUCAUUAUUGUAAAGAGAGUAAUCAGUCUAUAUAGAUUGUGCCACCAAAUUCAAUAGAUAGAUAUAAAAAAACUAAUUUUAGACAUCUAAUCAAAUACAUUGCAGCUUCAUGCCAGUCAUCCUAACUCUCUGGGGUGAUCACGAGACAGAUGAAGGCCAAGCAAUUGCCAACAUGAUUCAAUCAAUGCCACUCAUUGUUGGCCUUCGACUGAGAGUUUCAUCAUACCACAGUAAGUAUAGCUCAAAAUAUCACAAAUCCACCAUUCAUAUACUUCACCACAUCUUAGAAUAUUAAUAUCAUCUUCAAUUACAUAAAACUGCAGCUCUAAAUCUCUCAACAAAGUUUGGCUCAAGUGUUUUGGUGAACCCCCCAAUACAACAAGGUUCAAUGUUGAGGCAAUGGUAGGCGCUUGCUUCAAUUAAACUGUCCUCCGAUAUGUUAUAACAGAGUAUUUGCAAUAUUCUUAUAACUAACAAUUGAUAUCUGCUCACAAGGGCUAUGGAAAACAAAACACAGAUCAAUGACCUCAUAACACAAAGAGCAUACCUAAACCGAACCAGCCUACUACCACAACCUACAGAAGAUGAGCUCUGCACUAUCAAAGAGUUCCUGAAUUUACCAAUGGUGAGCUUCUGGAACUUUCAGAAAUCUAACUUCUUGGAUCAUUCACUUAUCUACCAAAUUAGGCAACUUAGAGUCUUAUUUCUUCUCAGAAAAAAGCUUAUUGGAUUCAAGGAAGCCCACGAUUCCUUGACAAAAGCCAACGGCUAUGGUAUAAUGCAUGCUCAAACUGUCACAAAUCCUUCAGAGCUAAACCUCAAUGGAAGAUUAUUUGCACUUCCUGCAACAAGAAUGUUAACAUUCUUCCAAGGUAACCAUCACAACAGCAACUUCACAAACUACUUCAAUAAACAUUGUUUCACUAAUUACCAACAACAAUUACAGGAGUAGGUUAACCAUAGAGCUGGCUGAUUACUCUGGAAACCUCACACUUGAUUUGUAUGACAAUGAUGCACAGCAACUACUGCCCUUCACACUGCCACAGAUUCAAGAACUCGAAGGCAAGGUCAGUAUACAUUCAUAUGCAAAACUUACCAACCUCCAAUUAAACAUAAACUCAUAUACAUUGUAUAGACUAAUACUCAAACACAAAUAUUGCAGCAUCAGCUUGAUUACACAGCUAUUGAACAGGCUAUUGAGAGUAGUAUCCUCACCUGCUUCGUGAAAAAAAUGACUAGAAAUCGUGGACCUGCCGACACAGAAAAAUACGCAGCUAUCAUAGUGCACAAAGCAAAUGCUGCAGAACUAAUAUCAAGCACUUCUAGAAAUUCAGCUUCAACUUCCACUCCUUCUACAAAUCCACUUACAGCUCCAGAAUCAUCGAACUUGACCACCAAUUCAACAAUUCUCAAUGCAACUGCUCAAAGUUACAGGGGAGCAACAAAUUUGGACAGCAAUUUGUUCACAACACUCAAAAUCACAGAAACUCCAACUAAGAAACAACGCACUGACCCGACUGACAUGGAGCUGUAGAUAUAGUAUAUGCAUCUAUGCUUUUGACCAACCUUUUGAACAUCUGAUGAACUGCCAUCUCCAUCAGUGUACAUAGGCUAUCGUUUGUGGGUUGCUAAAAGGUCUACACCAAGGCAUUAGUCUACCCUACUCCAAACUAUCUGCAUCAAAGCUUUUGACCAACCUUUUGAACAUCUGAUGAACUGCCAUCUCCAUCAAUGUACAUAGGCUAUCGUUUGUGCCUUGCUAAAAGGUCUACGCCAGGGAAUUAGUCUACCCUACUCUAAACCACAGCUCCAAUUAUGUUUUUGAACAUUUUGUAUAGCAUCAUCAGAUAUGUAGCUGUGCUUUUGAAGUGCUGAAAAUGAAAUCAGAUGUCUAACUAUGAUUUUGAAAUACCAUGUAAUUGAUGAAUACUAUUUCACGUUACUGUUAAAAAAUGGUCAGCUCAUUUCUCGAAAUAAUUAACCUGUGAUUAUAGACUUAUAACCAGUAACUAGAUACGAACCUCAUAUACUUUCAUUAUAUCUAAACUCCAAUUCAAUAACACAAUCACAACAUCUAAUAUGGUAAAUUUAUUACACAAACACUUACAUUAUAUCAAAGUACCAAAACAAAAUACACAGAUCCAAAUCCUUCAACAUAGUGCAAGCCACAAACUAAUGGCCCCAACAUCUUCACAUAAUAAUUAGUACAUAUGAAACACAAAAAAAGCCCAGAAAACCACUAAAUCAUAGCACUCUCAGCAGCUUUCUUCUGUUCUUCGACCUCAACUUGCAUGCGGUGAGCAAUUAUCUGAAGAAAAGGAAAUUCUCCAAUAUCUCCCAAAACUUCAUCCAACACGGCAAUCCUCUCAGAUCUUCGAUAAAAACUCUUAAACAAGUCAUAUAUCUCAUUCCGCAGCAAAAUAUUAUUUGCCAAGGCCCUGUUAGAACUAUUCAAACAGGUGGUAUCUCCAUUAUGGCCAGGCAAAGACCCCACCACACCAGCUAAUGACAAUCGAUUGAACAUGACUUCAACAUCAGGAUGCAAAUCACGUAAUACCGCAAAACGAUUAUGAGUAUACUCCAUCUCUAAACCACGAAAAAAAACAUCUACAUCCUAUGCUCAUAUAUAUAUACACAAAAUAGACAGUGAGUUUGCAUGCCUGAUCCCAAAGAUUCCCAAAGCCAACAUUUAUGCACCCCUGAAAAAAAAUCACAUGCAUCUGAACUCAAUGAGACAAAACCAUUUAUUACACACUGCUCACGUGAACUAUCUAUAAACUCUAUGCAUCUGAUAAAGAAAACUUCAAAAUCUGUACAGCACUACAAUCUUGAAGUGUUGAAAAUACUUCAUCGUUCACCGCCAUUAUUUCACCUGUCACGAAAACAAAAUCUCGUAAACCAACAACUUAAACUCAGCAAAC